rnacentral:rRNA from 1 species
CACGUAGGGGCGAGCGUUGUCCGGAAUUAUUGGGCGUAAAGAGCUCGUAGGCGGUUUGUCGCGUCUGCCGUGAAAGUCCGGGGCUCAACUCCGGAUCUGCGGUGGGUACGGGCAGACUAGAGUGAUGUAGGGGAGACUGGAAUUCCUGGUGUAGCGGUGAAAUGCGCAGAUAUCAGGAGGAACACCGAUGGCGAAGGCAGGUCUCUGGGCAUUAACUGACGCUGAGGAGCGAAAGCAUGGGGAGCGAACAGG